GUGGAGCAUGUGGCUUAAUUUGACUCAACGCGGGGAAUCUUACUAGGUCCGGACCGAUUCUAUGAUCGUCGUACUGUGGGGUGMUACGUGAUUACUGGAUGAGUGGUGCAUGGCCGUUCUUAGUUCGUGGUGUCAGUUGUCUACUUAAUUGUCAUUGGUUCUCGUAUCUUACGGUACAGAACUGAUAACGAACGAGAUCGAGGCCCGUGGUUGUGUAUGUUUGAAUUCGGUAUUACUACGGGGAUCGCGUAAUACUCCACGGUACGAUCGAAAGACUCGGCAAUAACAGGUCUGUGAUGUCCUCAGAUGUUCUAGGCUGCACACGUGCUACAUUGUGGUUUCGUUUGUAUGCGUAGAUAUCUAAGAUCCCCCGCAUCGAGUCAUAAUCGGUCACUCGGUUGGACUCACCGUUUGUAAUUAUUCGGUAUACUAA
rnacentral:rRNA from 1 species